ACAUAGGUACAUGACUGGCGGAACUGAGUAUAUUCAGGUAGAGAUCACUACAGGGAGUGUACCGGCAGGAUUUUCUGCAAUGGACAUUGAGCCGACCGCCUGGGCAGCAUUU
rnacentral:ncRNA from 2 species